rnacentral:rRNA from 1 species
GCGGAUUCAAGGCGCAAGCCUGACGAGCACGCCGCGUGAGUGAAGAAGGUUUUCGGAUCGUAAAGCUCUGUUGUUAGAGAAGAACGUGUGUGAGAGUGAAAAGUUCACCCUUUGCCGGAUACUUACCAAAAGGGGACGGUUAAUUCCUUGCCACCACCCCCGGAAUAAA